GCCCGCUCAGAAACUCAAAGGAUUGACGGGGCCCGCACAAGCGGUGGAGCAUGUGGUUUAAUUCGAUGAUACGCGAGGAACCUUACCUGGGCUCAAAUGUAUGUUGACGUAUUCUGAAAGGGAUACUUCUUCGGACAAUAUACAAGGUGCUGCAUGGUUGUCGUCAGCUCGUGCCGUGAGGUGUCGGGUUAAGUCCCAUAACGAGCGCAACCCCUAUCAUUAGUUGCCAUCAGGUCAAGCUGGGGACUCUAAUGAAACUGCCUACGCAAGUAGUGAGGAAGGUGGGGAUGACGUCAAAUCAGCACGGCCCUUACGUCCAGGGCUACACACGUGCUACAAUGGCCGAUACAGAGGGCAGCUACCUGGUGACAGGAUGCAAAUCUCCAAAGUCGGUCUCAGUUCGGAUCGGAGUCUGCAACCCGACUCCGUGAAGUUGGAUUCGCUAGUAAUCGCGCAUCAGCCAUGGCGCGGUGAAUACGUUCCCGGGCCUU
rnacentral:rRNA from 1 species